rnacentral:piRNA from 1 species
UCCUCUCCAUCCUUGACUCUGGGUCAGCAGU